AAGAUGGCUGCCCGGCGCUGAGGCAGCCCCCUCCAACGCUGGCCUCGAUGGUCCAGGCUUUGAGGCUCCAUCGACAGCGAGGUCGUUGGACAUGGAACACAUAGUCAUAUUUGACCACGAGCAGGCGGCGGCUUGCCGGUGUUGGCGGCACUGGUGGCAGGCGCGCCCGCGGCGGCUGUGG